UUUAUACUCCCUCCGUCCGAAAAUACUUGUCAUUCAAAUGAAUGUAUCUAGAUGUAUUUUAAUUCUAGAUGCAUUCAUUUUCAUUUAUGCAACAAGUAAUUCCGGAUGGAGGGAGUAUAAU
rfam:Triticum aestivum genome assembly, contig: Triticum_aestivum_CS42_TGACv1_scaffold_423232_5BS